rnacentral:rRNA from 1 species
AUUGAACGCUGGCGGCAGGCUUAACACAUGCAAGUCGAGCGGGGUGAUGGUGCUUGCACUAUCACUCAGCGGCGGACGGGUGAGUAAUGCUUAGGAAUCUGCCUAUUAGUGGGGGACAACAUCUCGAAAGGGAUGCUAAUACCGCAUACGUCCUACGGGAGAAAGCAGGGGAUCACUUGUGACCUUGCGCUAAUAGAUGAGCCUAAGUCGGAUUAGCUAGUUGGUGGGGUAAAGGCCUACCAAGGCGACGAUCUGUAGCGGGUCUGAGAGGAUGAUCCGCCACACUGGGACUGGGAAACGGCCCAGACUCCUACGGGAGGCAGCAGUGGGGAAUAUUGGACAAUGGGGGGAACCCUGAUCCAGCCAUGCCGCGUGUGUGAAGAAGGCCUUAUGGUUGUAAAGCACUUUAAGCGAGGAGGAGGCUCUUUUGGUUAAUACCCAAGAUGAGUGGACGUUACUCGCAGAAUAAGCACCGGCUAACUCUGUGCCAGCAGCCGCCGUAA